rnacentral:rRNA from 1 species
ACCCCCCGAAACUAGGCGAGCUACUCUAAAACAGCCCACAGAGCCAACCCACCCCUGUUGCAAAAGGGCGGGAAGAUUUUAAAGUAGCGGUGACACACCUACCGAGCCCAGAGAUAGCUGGUUAUUCAAAAGACGAAUCUAAGUUCAACUUUAAGCCUCACAAGUAACACCAAACGACCUACAAGCUUAAAAGCCAUUCAAAUAAGGUACAGCCUACUUGAACAAGGAGACAACCUAUAACUCAGGGUAAUGAAACCCCAACCGUGACAAAGUGGGCCUAAAAGCAGCCAACUUCCAAAAAGCGUCCAAGCCUCACCACGCCCGCCAUUAAUUCCACAAUACACUCAUAACCCCCAAUCAACACUGAAUGAUCCCAUACACUAUGGAAAACAUUAUGCUAGAACUAGUAACAAGAAGACGAACUUCUCCAAAAUGCAAACAUAAGCCAAAAUGAACCCUCACCGACAUUUACCGCUACCACAACCCGCAGUAUAAACCCGCAAGAAAAUUCUACUACACUAAGCGCUAACCUUACACCAGA